rnacentral:rRNA from 1 species
UACAGAGGUCUCAAGCGUUGUUCGGAUUCAUUGGGCGUAAAGGGUGCGUAGGUGGCGCUGUAAGUCGGGUGUGAAAUCUCGGGGCUUAACUCCGAAACUGCAUUCGAUACUGCGGUGCUUGAGGACUGGAGAGGAGACUGGAAUUUACGGUGUAGCAGUGAAAUGCGUAGAGAUCGUAAGGAAGACCAGUGGCGAAGGCGAGUCUCUGGACAGGUACUGACGCUGAGGCACGAAGGCCAGGGGAGCAAACGGG